rnacentral:rRNA from 1 species
CAAAAGCCUGGUCCUGACUUUAACAUCAGUUGUAACCUAAAUUAUACAUGCAAGUAUCCGCGCCCCUGUGAGCAAACCUUUCUUCGCCAAUAAUGGAAGAAAUUUUGGGCAUCAGGCACACCUAAGGGUAGCCCAAAACGCCCAGCCGCGCCACACCCCCAAGGGAAUUCAGCAGUAAGAGGUAUUAAUAUAUAAGCGAAAGCUUGACUUAGUUAGGGUAAUAGUAGAGCCGGUAAAACUCGUGCCAGCCACCGCGGUUAUACGAGGGGCUCAAAUUGAUGAAUAGCGGCGUAAAGAGUGAUUAGAGAACGCCAGACUAAAGCUGAAAGCACGCCCAGUUGUCAUACGCUAUGAUGAAUGGAAAACCAAAAACGAAAGUAGCUUUAAGAAUCUUGAAUUCACGACCAUUGAGGAACAAACCGGGAUUAGAUACCCCGCUAUGCUCAAUAGUAAACAAUGGUGGCAGAAUACACAAGCCAUCCGCCAGGGGAUUACGAGCACCUAGCUUAAAACCCAAAGGACUUGACGGUGCCUUAGGUCCACUUAGAGGAGCCUGUCCUAUAACCGAUAUACCUCGUUGAACCUCACUACUCCUUGCCAAAUCAGCCUAUAUACCACCGUCGGCAGCUUACCUUGUGAGAGCCAUUGUAGUGAGCUAAAUGGAAUAAAGAUCCAGAACGUCAGGUCGAGGUGUAGCAAACGGGGUAGGAAGAGAUGGGCUACACUUUCUGGAUCAGAAAAGACGAAAGGUGGAAUGAAAAUAACACAACCGAAGGUGGAUUUAACAGUAAGAUUGAAAAAAGAGAUUUGCUAACAUGGUGGCAGAUACACAAGCCAUCCGCCAGGGGAUUACGAGCACCUAGCUUAAAACCCAAAGGACUUGACGGUGCCUUAGGUCCACUUAGAGGAGCCUGUCCUAUAACCGAUAUACCUCGUUGAACCUCACUACUCCUUGCCAAAUCAGCCUAUAUACCACCGUCGGCAGCUUACCUUGUGAGAGCCAUUGUAGUGAGCUAAAUGGAAUAAAGAUCCAGAACGUCAGGUCGAGGUGUAGCAAACGGGGUAGGAAGAGAUGGGCUACACUUUCUGGAUCAGAAAAGACGAAAGGUGGAAUGAAAAUAACACAACCGAAGGUGGAUUUAACAGUAAGAUUGAAAAAAGAGAGUUCAACUGAAUAAGGCUCUAAGGCAAGUACACACCGCCCGUCAUUCUCUUCUAGGGCAAGAUGACCGACUAGAUAAUGCUUAAAACACCCAACAGAAGAGACAAGUCGUAACAUGGUAAGUGUACCGGAAGGUGCGCUUGGAACAAC